UGAAUUUAAAACAGCAUCCUUGGUGUCCACCCAAAUCCACAGAACGUCACAGCUCCAUGGGCUUGAUUUUCUUGGCAGUGAUACUGCUUCUGGCUCUUCUGGCAGGUCUUGCAUUUUGGUUUUGGAAGUGCUGGACACACUGUGAGCCUCCUCUCCACGCUUCUCCCUUUGGAAUGAGGACCCAACAGCUCAGGGGCUCAUGACAUACCUGAGCACAACAUGGCAAUGACAUCCUUUCAACUCUCCUUAUAAAUCUUUUGAUAAUGUUUGUUUCUGCUUAAUGAUCAGUUGUCAGUGUAAGCUAAAUGUAAUUUUGCAGAGUUUGUUGUUUUGACCUGGGUUCUGGAACUUUCACAUUCAAUUUUAACUCUGAAUGGAAUGGAGUCCUAGCAACCUCCACAUGUUCAAAUAUUAAUGGAUCAUCAGGUCCAUUUCAGAUGUCACUUCCUCCUGAGGGCCUUCCUGGAUUUGCAAGUAGAAAGCAGUUUCUCCCUCAUCUGAACUCCCACUACAUUUCCACUGUACUGUGCUACUCUGCUCCUCACUUCCUAUCUUUCACUGUAGUUAAUUAGGUCCCUUUUCCCCUUCUAGUGUUUCAGCUCUUUGAGAGCAAAGUAUGUCUUUCAAAUAUAUGUAUCCUUGGUAAUAACAUGUUUCCAAUAAAAAUCUGUGUGGAAUUUA